GCCAGGCGCAGUGGCUUACGCCUGUAAUCCCAGCACUUUGGGAGGCCGAGGCGGGUGGAUCACCUGAGGUCAGGAGUUCAAGACCAGCCUGACCAACAUGGUGAAACCCCGUCUCUA
rnacentral:SRP_RNA from 1 species